rnacentral:rRNA from 1 species
CCUACGGGGGGCAGCAGUGGGGAAUAUUGGACAAUGGGGGCAACCCUGAUCCAGCCAUGCCGCGUGUGUGAAGAAGGCCCUCGGGUUGUAAAGCACUUUCAGUGAGGAAGAACGCCUGGUGGUUAAUACCCAUCAGGAAAGACAUCACUCACAGAAGAAGCACCGGCUAACUCGUGCCAGCAGCCGCGGUAAUACGGAGGGUGCGAGCGUUAAUCGGAAUUACUGGGCGUAAAGCGCGCGUAGGUGGCUUGAUAAGCCGGUUGUGAAAGCCCCGGGCUCAACCUGGGAACGGCAUCCGGAACUGUCAAGCUAGAGUGCAGGAGAGGAAGGUAGAAUUCCCGGUGUAGCGGUGAAAUGCGUAGAGAUCGGGAGGAAUACCAGUGGCGAAGGCGGCCUUCUGGACUGACACUGACACUGAGGUGCGAAAGCGUGGGUAGCAAACAGGAUUAGAUACCCCUGUAGUC